rnacentral:rRNA from 1 species
GGGCCCGCACAAGCGGUGGAGCAUGUGGUUUAAUUCGAUGCAACGCGAAGAACCUUACCAGGGCUUGACAUACUGCAGAUCUUUUUGAGAAAGAAGAGUGCCUUCGGGAAUGCAGAUACAGGUGGUGCAUGGCUGUCGUCAGCUCGUGUCGUGAGAUGUUGGGUUAAGUCCCGCAACGAGCGCAACCCUUAUUUUUAGUUACCAACUUGUUGGGUUCUCUAGAAAGACUGCCGGUGACAAACCGGAGGAAGGUGAGGAUGACGUCAAGUCAGCAUGCCCCUUAUGUCCUGGGCUACACACGUGCUACAAUGGUUAAGACAAAGAGUCGCGAGUUCGUGAGAACCAGCUAAUCUCGUAAACUUAGCCUAAGUUCAGAUUGUAGGCUGCAACUCGCCUACAUGAAGUUGGAAUCGCUAGUAA